AUUGAACGCUGGCGGCAGGCCUAACACAUGCAAGUCGAACGGUAACAGGAAGCAGCUUGCUGCUUUGCUGACGCGUGGCGGACGGGUGAGUAAUGUCUGGGAAACUGCCCGAUGGAGGGGGAUAACUACUGGAAACGGUAGCUAAUACCGCAUAACGUCGCAAGACCAAAGAGGGGGACCUUAGGGCCUCUUGCCAUCGGAUGUGCCCAGAUGGGAUUAGCUAGUAGGUGGGGUAACGGCUCACCUAGGCGACGAUCCCUAGCUGGUCUGAGAGGAUGACCAGCCACACUGGAACUGAGACACGGUCCAGACUCCUACGGGAGGCAGCAGUGGGGAAUAUUGCACAAUGGGCGCAAGCCUGAUGCAGCCAUGCCGCGUGUAUGAAGAAGGCCUUCGGGUUGUAAAGUACUUUCAGCGGGGAAGAAGGGAGUAAAGUUAAUACCUUUGCUCAUUGACGUUACCCGCAGAAGAAGCACCGGCUAACUCCGUG
rnacentral:rRNA from 1 species